rnacentral:rRNA from 1 species
AUUGAACGCUGGCGGCAGGCCUAACACAUGCAAGUCGAGCGGAUGAAGGGAGCUUGCUCCUGGAUUCAGCGGCGGACGGGUGAGUAAUGCCUAGGAAUCUGCCUGGUAGUGGGGGAUAACGUCCGGAAACGGGCGCUAAUACCGCAUACGUCCUGAGGGAGAAAGUGGGUGAUCUUCGGACCUCACGCUAUCAGAUAAGCCUAGGUCGGAUUAGCUAGUUGGUGGGGUAAAGGCCUACCAAGGCGACGAUCCGUAACUGGUCUGAGAGGAUGAUCAGUCACACUGGAACUGAGACACGGUCCAGACUCCUACGGGAGGCAGCAGUGGGGAAUAUUGGACAAUGGGCGAAAGCCUGAUCCAGCCAUGCCGCGUGUGUGAAGAAGGUCUUCGGAUUGUAAAGCACUUUAAGUUGGGAGGAAGGGCAGUAAGUUAAUACCUUGCUGUUUUGACGUUACCAACAGAAUAAGCACCGGCUAACUUCGUG